AUAUAUAUAUUUCUAAUCUUUGUGCCAGUUGGAUUAGAAUAUGAUUAAAGGAAAUGAGGUUGCAGAAGAAGAUUAAAGAUGCAAUACCUUUCAGUUUCGGAUGAGGACCCAAUGAUGGAAACCUGCUGUACUCUUGUAGUGCAAUGCUGGUGCAUUGCAGGUUCUAUCUAAUAUUCCAUUCCAUGGCGGGAGACUCAGUUUUCAUAUGAGCCUUUAACCUUCAAUCCUAUACAACGGCACCCAAUUUACAGAACUAGGGGACUAGCUCUUAGGGGACUUGGUGGGUAUAGGCCUAGUGCAUAAGGCCUAGGCGGUUUUUUAAAUAAGUCUCUACUUAAAAUUGCAAAAAAUAUGCAAAAUUAGAAUGAUAUAUAAAUUAUAAAGUACUAUAAUAGAUUGAAAACAUAGGGAACAAUCAUGUGUAAGUGUUGAUCCAAAUGUCCAGCAAGUAUAGUACAAUUUAUUGAAAACAUAAAAUGCAAAACGAAGGUUAUCUAUUUUGUGUUUAAAGGAGAGUCGCCACACCAAACCAUUUUCAUAAAUAAAAGAGCAAGUAAAAAAGUCACAAAACCACCUAAGCCCCUAGACCCACCUAGGUCCACCAUGCCCGCUUAUGCCCACCAAGGCUCUAUAAGGGUUUAGGUGGCUAGGCAAGGGCCUAGGCAAGUCUAGACGAACUUUCUAAUUUUUUAAAUGCAUAGAGACUAAUUAGGGCAAUGACUAGCAACCUAGCACCUACACGGUCCUAAGCAAAGACCUUUAGAACACUCAGUAUGGUCACAUAUUUGUGAUGAUACCGAAAUAACGGUGGAGGUGAAGCUUUUGUUACCAUGCUGCUUAUAACACUAGAACUCGGCUUACAAGGUAUCUCGAAAGCAGCUUUAAAGAAUGCUCCCUCUAGAAAUCCCAGUUUUGUAACAUCCCACAUCGCCUAGGGGAGUGAUCCUUAUAUGUAUAUUCUCAUCUCUACCUAGCACGAGGCCUUUUGGGAGCUCACUGGCUUCAGAUUCCGUAGGAACUUCGAAGUUAAGCGAGUAGCGCGCGAGAGCAAUCCCAUGAUGGGUGACCUAUUGGGAAGUUCUCAUGUGAGUUCCUAGAAACAAAACCGUGAGGGCGUAGUCGGGGCCCAAAGCGAACAAUAUCGUGCUAUGGUGGUGGAGUGGGUCUGGGGUGUGGUGGAUCCGGGCCGGGAUGUGACAAAUGGUAUCAGAGCCAAUCCCUGGCCGGAAGUGUGCCGAUGAGGACGUCGGGCCCCUAAGGGGGGUGAAUUGUAACAUCCCACAUCGCCUAGGGAAGUGAUCCUUAUAUGUAUAUUCUCAUUCCUACCUAGCACGAGGCUUUUUGGGAGUUCACUGGCUUCGGGUUCCGUAGGAACUUCGAAGUUAAGCGAGUAGCGCGCGAGAGCAAUCCCAUGAUGGGUGACCCACUGGGAAGUUCUCGUGUGAGUUCCUAGAAACAAAACUGUGAGGG
rnacentral:lncRNA from 1 species